UUGUGGAAUCAGAUAGGUUUCUAUCACCUCAA
rnacentral:piRNA from 1 species